rnacentral:rRNA from 1 species
UACAGAGGGUGCGAGCGUUGUUCGGAAUUAUUGGGCGUAAAGGGCGCGUAGGCGGUGCGGUAAGUCACCUGUGAAAUCUCCUGGCUCAACUGGGAGUCUGCAGGCGAAACUGCCGUGCUGGAGUGUGGGAGAGGUGAGUGGAAUUCCCGGUGUAGCGGUGAAAUGCGUAGAUAUCGGAAGGAACGCCGGUGGCGAAAGCGGUCCGCUGGGUCCCUACUGACGCUGAGGCGCGAAAGCCAGGGGAGCAAACGGG